UGUAUUUAUUAGAUAAAAAACCAAUGCCCUUCGGGGCUUUUUGGUGAUUCAUGAUAACUUUACGGAUCGCAUAGCCUUGCGCUGGCGACGGUUCAUUCAAAUUUCUGCCCUAUCAACUUUCGAUGGUAAGGUAUUGGCUUACCAUGGUUUCAACGGGUAACGGGGAAUUAGGGUUCGAUUCCGGAGAGGGAGCCUGAGAAACGGCUACCACAUCCAAGGAAGGCAGCAGGCGCGCAAAUUACCCAAUCCCGACACGGGGAGGUAGUGACAAUAAAUACUGAUACAGGGCUCUUUUGGGUCUUGUAAUUGGAAUGAGUACAAUUUAAACCUCUUAACGAGGAACAAUUGGAGGGCAAGUCUGGUGCCAGCAGCCGCGGUAAUUCCAGCUCCAAUAGCGUAUAUUAAAGUUGUUGCAGUUAAAAAGCUCGUAGUUGAAACUUGGGCCUGGCUGGCGGGUCCGCCUCACCGCGUGCACUCGUCCGGCCGGGCCUUCCUUCUGAAGAACCUCAUGCCCUUCACUGGGCGUGCUGGGGAACCAGG
rnacentral:rRNA from 1 species